rnacentral:hammerhead_ribozyme from 1 species
GUCCAGCCGACGAAUCCCAAAUAGGACGAAAUUGCGAGUCCUGGAU